rnacentral:rRNA from 1 species
CCUACGGGGGGCAGCAGUGGGGAAUAUUGGACAAUGGGGGCAACCCUGAUCCAGCCAUGCCGCGUGUGUGAAGAAGGCCCUCGGGUUGUAAAGCACUUUCAGUGAGGAAGAACGCCUGGUGGUUAAUACCCAUCAGGAAAGACAUCACUCACAGAAGAAGCACCGGCUAACUCCGUGCCAGCAGCCGCGGUAAUACGGAGGGUGCGAGCGUUACUCGGAAUUACUGGGCGUAAAGCGCGCGUAGGUGGCUUGAUAAGCCGGUUGUGAAAGCCCCGGGCUCAACCUGGGAACGGCAUCCGGAACUGUCAAGCUAGAGUGCAGGAGAGGAAGGUAGAAUUCCCGGUGUAGCGGUGAAAUGCGUAGAGAUCGGGAGGAAUACCAGUGGCGAAGGCGGCCUUCUGGACUGACACUGACACUGAGGUGCGAAAGCGUGGGUAGCAAACAGGAUUAGAUAUCCGUGUAGUC